UCCGGGCGGACGCCGAGUCCUGCCGCCGCCCGGAUGACCGGUCGACAGGAGUGGAUCGGCAGGAGUGGAGGACCCAAGCAACGACGGGUCGCCGGAACGGUCACGCCAUGGCCGGGUCGAGCAGCCCUUGGGGUGAAGCCGCGUCAGCGGCCGGGCAACUUUGUCAGCCCGAAUCCGACAGGUCAUCCUUCACAGGCGGCUGACGAAGGGUUG
rnacentral:sRNA from 2 species